rnacentral:misc_RNA from 1 species
GAUGAAGAACGUAGCGAAAUGCGAUACGUAAUGUGAAUUGCAGAAUUCAGUGAAUCAUCGAAUCUUUGAACGCAUAUUGCGCUCUCUGGUAUUCCGGAGAGCAUGCUUGUUUGAGUAUCAGUAAACACCUCAACUCCCUUUUCUUUUUUGAAAUUGGAGCUGGACUUGAGUGAUCCCAACGCUUUCUUCCAAGAAAGUGGCGGGUUGCUUGAAAUGCAGGUGCAGCUGAACUUUUCUCUGAGCUAUAAGCAUAUCUAUUUAGUCUGCCUAAAAAACAGAUUAUUACCUUUGCUGCAGCUAACAUAAAGGAGAUGAGUUCUUGUGCUGACUGAUGCAGGAUUCACAGAGACAGCUUUGCGGCUGACUUUGUAAACUCGAUCUCAAAUCAAGUAAGACUACCCGCUGAACUUAAGCAUAUCAAUAAGCGGAGGA